UAAAGACAAAUGGAAAUUAUGGAUUUUAUUGAAAAGAAAGUGUAUAAGUAUGAACCUUCAACAAGUUCAUCUUUUUCUACUUCUGACAUUUUAGACUCAAAAGAGUACGUGCGAACGAGACCGAAACCUCACCGGGCAGAAACUCAUACUUCAUCGUAUUCGAUUGGAACUUUAAUGAAGCUUAAGGAUGGUGUCUGGACCAAUUUUCGAAGCUGUUUUUGAGCUGUUUGGCAGCUAUUUUGGGAUCAUUUUUAGAGUUGAAAUUUCAGCUUUUAAUGGCU
rnacentral:lncRNA from 1 species